AAGAGUUUGAUCCUGGCUCAGGAUUAACGCUGGCGGCGUGCCUAAUACAUGCAAGUCGAACGGAAACCUUCGGGUUUUAGUGGCGAACGGGUGAGUAACACGUAAGCAACCUACCCUAAAGACGAGGAUAACCAUUGGAAACAGUGGCUAAGACUGGAUAGGAAGAUAAAAGGCAUCUUGUAUCUUUUAAAAGACCUAGUUAAUAGGUAUGCUUUAGGAGGGGCUUGCGCCAUAUUAGUUAGUUGGUAGGGUAAUGGCCUACCAAGACGAUGAUGUGUAGCUGGACUGAGAGGUUGAACAGCCACAUUGGGACUGAGACACGGCCCAAACUCCUACGGGAGGCAGCAGUAGGGAAUUUUCGGCAAUGGAGGAAACUCUGACCGAGCAACGCCGCGUGAAUGACGAAGUACUUCGGUGUGUAAAGUUCUUUUAUCGAGGAAGAAAAGCAAAUGGCGAACCAUUUGUUUGCCGGUACUUGAUGAAUAAGCCCCGGCUAAUUAUGUGCCAGCAGCCGCGGUAAGACAUAAGGGGCAAGUGUUAUCCGGAAUUAUUGGGCGUAAAGGGUGCGUAGGCGGUCUAGUAAGUCAGUGGUGUAAUGGCAACGCUUAACGUUGUCCGGCUAUUGAAACUGCUAAACUUGAGUUAGAUAGAGGCGAGUGGAAUUCCAUGUGUAGCGGUAAAAUGCGUAAAUAUAUGGAGGAACACCAGAGGCGUAGCGGCUCGCUGGGUCUUAACUGACGCUGAGGCACGAAAGCGUGGGGAGCAAACAGGAUUAGAUACCCUGUAGUCCACGCCGUAAACGAUGAGUACUAAGUGUCGGGUUAAACCGGUACUGAAGUUAACACAUUAAGUACUCCGCCUGAGUAGUACGUACGCAAGUAUGAAACUUAAAGGAAUUGACGGGACUCCGCACAAGCGGUGGAUCAUGUUGUUUAAUUCGAAGAUACCCGAAAAACCUUACCAGGUCUUGACAUGUUUUUGCAAAAUGAUAGUAAUAUCGUGGAGGUUACCAGAAACACAGGUGGUGCAUGGUUGUCGUCAGCUCGUGUCGUGAGAUGUUAGGUUAAGUCCUAAAACGAGCGAAACCCUUAUCGUUAGUUGCCAGCACGUUAUGGUGGGGACUUUAACGAGACUGCCAAUGAUAAAUUGGAGGAAGGUGAGGAUCACGUCAAAUCAGCAUGCCCCUUAUGACCUGGGCUACAAACGUGAUACAAUGGCUGUUACAAAGGGUAGCUGAAACGCAAGUUCUUGGCCAAUCCCCAAAAACAGUCCCAGUCCGGAUUGAAGUCUGCAACUCGACUUCAUGAAGUUGGAAUCGCUAGUAAUCGCGAAUCAGCAUGUCGCGGUGAAUACGUUCUCGGGGUUUGUACACACCGCCCGUCAAACCACGAAAGUUGGCAAUACCCCAAAACGGUAGCCUAACUCGUUUAUUCGAGAGGGCGCCGUCUAAGGUAGGGUCGAUGAUUGGGGUUAAGUCGUAACAAGGUAUCCCUACCGGAAGGUGGGGAUGGAUCACCUCCUUUCUAAGGAAACCAAUAAAAUCAAUCAUCUUCAGUUUUGAAAGACUUAGGCAACUAAGUUUUUCUUCGUGACUUCACGAAGGGCCUAUAGCUCAGUUGGUUAGAGCACACGCCUGAUAAGCGUGAGGUCGGUGGUUCAAGUCCAUUUAGGCCCACCAGAGUUAUAGGUUUCGUAAGAACACAAAUUCUUUGAAAAUUAGGUAAAUAAUAGUUAUUUAUCCGGAACAUUAAAGGAAAUAAGAGCGCACAGUGGAUGCCUAGGCACCAAGAGCCGAUGAAGGACG
rnacentral:rRNA from 1 species